AACGCAUCUUGCGCUCUCUGGUUAUUCCGGAGAGCAUGCUUGUUUGAGUGUCACGAACCCUCCUCAACCCCGCAUGUCUUAAUUGAGAUGUAGUCUUUUGGGCUUUGGAUCAUGGCGGUUUGUUGGAUCUUUUCGUACGCCUUUUGUAAUGAAAGGUUUGAAAGCCAACUCUGCUGAAAUGUAACAAGCUGAAUCAGCAUACUUGCGGCUUGACCUAUUGUUGUAACUUGAAACUCAAUGGGAACGCAUUAAAGUUGAACGAGCUUUCAUAAAAACAGUUUUAAUUUUUAAACUUCGACCUCAAAUCAAGUAGGACUACCCGCUGAACUUAA
rnacentral:misc_RNA from 1 species